rnacentral:lncRNA from 1 species
UUUACCUACCAACAUCUUCAAUCUUCUCUCUAGUUUUCUCUCGCACGGAUUCUUCCGGUUGAUUCUAUAACCUAAUCUUCUCAAAUACAAAGAUCCGUAGCUAAAUCUUGCAGACUCGGACUCUUCGUCGAACAAAACAUUUAUGGAUCCUAAUAACAACGCUCAUUCGUUGUUAAAGUUGAUUAAGGACUAUGAUCCUAUAUUUUUGGAAAUACCGUAUGAUUUUGCAACCUUAUUUUGGGGAGAACAACUUCCAUAUGAUCAAUCUCUUAAAAUUAUUGAUGACGACUUAUCAUGGGUGGUUAGAGUUAAAAGAAAUAUGUCGGGCCCUGUCUUAGGUGAUGGCUUAACCAAAGUCGUUAGAGAUUCUGGUCUCAAAAACAAUGAUUAUCUAUUGUUGAAGGCUAUUGGACCAUCGACAUUGUAUCUUUCAGUCUUUAAAUCAUGCAUUUUUUGAGAACUCCUUUAUCUCUAAAAUUAUACCUGAUGAUACCUUCAUUGUAAGGGCUAUAUACAAUAUAGACUAAAUUGAAAAAUCAACCUUUAUGUUAUACCCAAACUGCACUUCGUACCUUUCUCUAUAAAAUCGGCAAAAACAACCUUUAUGUUCAUGUUUUGCUACAUGUUCAACCUUUAACACAAACGACGUUUGUUUUUCUGGUUAACACCCCUCACAUGCAUUGCAUGUGAGGAUACUUUAGUCCUUUUAAAUUCUUUUUUAAUAUAUAUUUAAAAAACCCCACAAAACCCACUAUGAGUCUCUAUCUUCAUCUCCAAAAGAUCAAAAUUUGAUGUUGAGCGGUAGUUGUUGGUCCAAACAAUAUGUAAAUACAAAAACCCACAAACCCGCAAUCGCCCGCUAGAAGCUAAAAGUUGCAUUUCUUUUUCACCAAUUC